rnacentral:rRNA from 1 species
AUUGAACGCUGGCGGCAGGCUUAACACAUGCAAGUCGAGCGGGGGAGGUUGCUUCGGUAACUGACCUAGCGGCGGACGGGUGAGUAAUGCUUAGGAAUCUGCCUAUUAGUGGGGGACAACAUUCCGAAAGGGAUGCUAAUACCGCAUACGCCCUACGGGGGAAAGCAGGGGAUCUUCGGACCUUGCGCUAAUAGAUGAGCCUAAGUCGGAUUAGCUAGUUGGUGGGGUAAAGGCCUACCAAGGCGACGAUCUGUAGCGGGUCUGAGAGGAAGAACCGCCACACUGGGACGGGAACACGGCCCAGACUCCUGCGGAAGGCAGCAGUGGGGAAUAUUGGACAAUGGGCGGAUGCCUGAUCCAGCCAUGCCGCGUGUGUGAAGAAGGCCUUUUGGUUGUAAGGCACUUUAAGCGAGGAGGAGGCUCUUAAGGUUAAUACCCUUGAUGAGUGGACGUUACUCGCAGAAUAAGCACCGGCUAACUCUGUGCCAGCCGCCGCCGUAAAAC